ensembl:lncRNA
CUUAAUAGCCCGUCUAGAGGGAACAGUCAACCUAAGAGCCUUAGAAGCAAGAGCGGGAACCACCAACCAAGAGGAUGAGGCUCCAUUUGAUAAGGUCAGAGGAGUAUUCUGGGCCACAAUGCGAAACAUCUGGCCUACAAAGCCAAGCAUGUCCAUCCUGAUGGGUCUGAGUAUGAAACAAGGUGAAGACAUGUCUCAAUAUCUGAGGAGAGCAGAAACAGAAUGGCAUUUGGCCACAGGAGAAAGACACGACAAUAACAAAUCUACUGCAGUAACCUGGCGACACACUGUGCAGCAAGGCUUGCCCCAGGCUGUUCAAACAGCGUUGGAGGGAGUAGUGGGACUGGACGACAUGGAUGAAAGCACAUGGAGAGACCAUCUAACCCACUUCUACAAAAUACAGAGAGCUGCGGAGACAAGGAGGCAAGAAGAACUGGGGACGAUGACGCAUCGACUCCUGAAGAUCCAACUGGCAGCAGCAGAUGCAGAAGCAACGAAAAAACAGAGAGUCAGGAAACAACUGUCGGUGAGAGAUGAACAACCUCAAUACCCCGUUCCUCCAGAGGCCCAAUAUCCAGCCCCAGCAGUCAGAGACCGUUCAAUGGUUGGCCAGCAACCACCACCUCAGCGCAGAGGCAGAGGACGUGGAAAUAAUAGGGGAAGAGGAGAUGAAUGCUACUUAUGCGGACAGACGGGUCAUUGGUCAAGAAUAUGUCCAACGAACAUGCAGUUCAGUGCAGCUCCUCCACGGUCUUCCCGUCAAAUGCAGCCCCGGCAGGACCAGAGGGUCUAUCUCACCUCCACCCCCUCAUGCAAACCCCACAGCAGACGAGGCCCUAAAACAACUAACUGGUGACACACCGACCCCCGCUGCUUUCCAACAGCUCAGAUAAGCACCCUCAGCGUCCACGGUGUACGACUCACAUUCCAGGUAGAAAAGGGAGACUGGAGAUUACAGACGGCUGAGAGUGUCAGCUCAAACUAGACUUAAACCCGUAGGGAAGAUUGAUUUUAAAAAGGGGAAAUCAGUCAUUGAAAUUAAGAGAUAAGGUUGUGUAAGAUUUAAAUGAGGAAUGAAGGUGAUAAGGAAUUAGGAGAGUUGUGGUAUAUAUUGUCCGUAUGUUGUAUUAAUGUUUGUAGUUUUUUGAGUUUUCUCCUGAAUUCAGAGAUGGGCGGUAAAUUGUUGAGUGCUGCUAUUGAGUGUAUAGUGCACGAUACACUUGAUACAGUAUCUUGAUGAUGGAAGCAAAUGUCUGAUCAAAGGAACAUUUAUAGCACCAGAUCACGAAAUAUGGAAAUUUGUUACAGACGGUCAUCCUGUAAUGUUCAAAAAGUAGUACACCCUUACAUUUGGAUACGCUAACCACGAGAGGUUGGUGAUCUAUCAGUAAUGAAUGAAUAGAUUGGAUCAAACUAAGCAUGAGCUGAGUUUGUGUUUGCAGGUAACAGACACGUCUCCCACCCUCUGCUUUGCUUUUGGGCUGAAGAGCAAUAAAAGUGGAGAUUAACACUGGAGGGGGGUCUGGAACAGAUGGGUCUGAUGCUAAGUUGAUUUAUUAUCUCCUGGUACUUUUUGGGAUCAAGGGACUCACAAUCUUCAUUGUUGUUUUAUGACCCUGAAGGGUUUGGAGAACCUUUUGUUGAUAUCACCGGGGUUUGAGGUUCACAUUCUGAUACAUUGAUUGAAGUUUUAGAGACUGGUACUGCAAAUGCUCGACCACUUGUGAAAGUGGUCGCAAAGGUCAGCAAAUUGACUGUAAUGAUGGAGGCCUUCAGUGAGGCCAUCGAAUGGUUUAUUUUAAUGGGGAAGUAAGCAGAGAAAAGAAAAGUAGGUUGAAGAGUUAUGCAGUAAUGCAUAGGUUUUCAAUGGUGAUGACUCAUCAUGACAGAGCAAACAGGCUGAAGGUAAAAGGAGAAGAAAUUGACUGUGAAGGUGAGAAUGAGAGGUAACAUUUUUGUGUAAACUUGGUAUGAGCAGAUUGCUUUGAGGUUAGACUGAACAAAGAGAACUUGGUUGGUCAAUUAGUUCAUGAAGACAUGGAACAGUCAUACACCAUGAGGGUGAGACCUACAAGCAAAAACUCAAAGGGAUCAUUGAACGGGGACACGAAGGCAAUGUUGGUGUUAAUUUUUCAUGAGUUGACUAUGGGGGUCAAUAAUCAGUUAUGUCGAAGAUUCCAAAUUUCUAUAAAUAAAUGGCUCCUCAAAUCGGUUGGAAACAAGGCCGUUUGAGAAAGGCAAUUUUCCAAAACAAUGUGUAAAUACUUUAGGAGCAGAUAAAGAUAUGCAGAGGCAUUCUUUACGUCAACGCAUCACAUUCUUCAUUCAGCUGAGGCUCUAAUCCAAAGUGACUUGCAGGAAGUGAAUUUGAACAAGAGGGAACAGAACCAGAACAGCAAGAACAAAGAAGAG